rnacentral:sRNA from 2 species
ACCGUCUUACGUUAGGUGAGGCUCCUAUAUAGAAAUAUGCUACUGCCCUGCAAACUAUCCAGAGAUUUUUGUAUGGGUCAACAGGAACUGUCGAAUAAGGCUUUUCUUAAUGUAGCUGAUAGUAAUUAUCUACGCUAUAUAGUGCUAAAACUCCACGAAGAGAUUAACA